UAGGAACUGCUUCCUCUCUCUCUCUCUCUCUCUCUCUCUCUCUCUCUCUCUCUCUGUGUGUGUGUGUGAUAGAUAGAGAGAGAGGGAGGGAGGGAGAGAGAGAGAAACUUUCCCG